UGAUGUGCAACUAUAUGUCAAGAAGUUUUGACUUGGUUCUCCAAUUGAUGGAGUCAUUUUCUUAGUCAUGCCAUAAAAGUUCUUUUAAACAAAAGAUUUCAAAUGCUAUGAGAUCAUAUGUUAUAUAUAUAUAUAAAAGGACUCUUUACAAAGAGAAAUCAUGACCAAAAUUUAUUUUAUUGAACGGGAAAUUACGAAAUACAUCAAGCGUAGUAUUUCUUUACAGAGUCG
rnacentral:lncRNA from 1 species